CACCGGAUUACAACGGCAGCACUCCGCAGCCCCCCCAUGAUAUGUACGCAGAGCAGUGUCAAGGCCAGGCCGUGGCGUUGCAUUCUGGGAGCUGUCGUUUUCCUCACAUGUUGCCACCGGGAGGAUCCUCUUCCUCCUCUACUCAGAUUGAGUACAACGACUACUACUGGGUUUGACAACAGCCGCCACCACCGCCGCCAUCCAACGACUACUGCCUCACUGUGAAUGGACUAAUUUAUAUAUAUAUUUUAAAAUAACUUCAACUCAUUUGUAUUUAUGUGUAUAUAUGAAUAUGUGGAACAUGUUAUUUUUAUAUGUUUUUUUUAGACCACUAUUUAUAAUAAACUGGUCAAAAUGA